rnacentral:lncRNA from 1 species
GCUCAUGGCCUGGUUAUGUGUUUUCGAGACGCUGAGUAAAAGUGGUUCUCUACUCAUUACCAUGGGUAUAGAAAGAGGCAUGAACACUUGAACAGAUUCCAAUCAGACUGGACAACAUGGGGAUGCUGCCUUAAUCUCUUUAACCAUGAUUUACAGGUGAUCGCCAAGAAAAAAUUUGAAAUAUGGAUUAUAAUCGAUGGAACAUGUGUUUGAAACUUAAGUUGCAGAGGAAUAUUUUUAAAAAAGCUGACUUUCCUUCAAACGGUUCGAAAUGGAAGAUUUCUUUCACCGAAGAAACAAGUCAAAUGACUCAAAUGUCAAUUGGUAUAAAUAGGACCAUCCCCAGCAGCGUCAACCUGUAGAAGGAAAGGCCAGUUUGCAUGUCCUUCACACUCGAAGGUCAAGGAGAUCAUUACGUAAAACGUGUUAUGCAGUGAUGUAGAGGCUGGACCCAUCCCCAGCAACGUCAACCUGCAGAAGGAAAUGCCAGUUUGCAUGUCCUUCCCGCUUGAAGGUCACGGAGAUCAUUACGGAAAACGUGUCAUGCAGUCGUGUAGAGGAUGGGUGUUAAAGGAACAUGUUUCAUCACUAUCAAGUAGGUACAAUAGCCGCAAGGCUGAAGAGGUUAGGAUGAGAAAAAAAUCGUUAGGAUAGAGAAAAGGUUAUAUAAAACAGUCGAGCGAGCAUCUCCCACACGGCAACAACAGCAGUGCCCAUUUGUCACCAACUGCAUUCCUCAUCGUGGAACCAAUACGCAAUCAUCGUUAACUAUAGCGGUGUGCUGCUGUCGGGUGUUGUAUCGUUGAUGGCUGGGUCGACCAUUGGUGUCCCGAUGUAUCCGUGAAUACCAAACCACAACGCCGCUGCCUUUCUACACGACAUCAACUUACGUAACGACCAGUUACUACACCACUAAAGCAAUGGAGUAUUACCACAAUUUACGCUGCCCCGAGCUACACCACCAAGGCACCGGAGUACUACACGACUACUUAUGCUGCUCCAUCCUACUACACCGAGGC